GGAAAUGUUAAUGUAUUUUAUAAUUUGGGGUAAUUUAGUCUUUUCUCACUAAAAAGUGGGUUAUGAAACUAAAAAGGUGGGUUACAAAAGUGAAAAUCUUUUCCUUCACUAGUGAUAAAAGUUUUUUAUCGUAGCAUCAAUGAGAAUUUAUUAUGUCUCAAAUUUAUAGGUCAAUGUUUAUCUCUUAAGGUUCCAUGUUAUUGCUCAAAACCUUAUCUAACUUUCAUUUUCAAUAAUAAGGAUUGGAUUCUGUUAAAACCAAAUAAUAUAACGCAACCCAUAUCAUAUUUUUUUUUUUUAAAUUGAUUCAGUUCAUUGGGUAUAGCUUUAAUUGAAACUAAAUCGUCCUAUAGAACUAAUGUUGUUACUGUUGCUUGCAGCAAUUCUAAAUGGCACGAAAUAAUACUUACUGACUGAGUCACGACCAGGUCGCUCUCUUUAAGACGUUUCGUGGCACUGCCCAAAAUGUGCAAGCAGACUAUCAACCACGCCGUCCCCAGGAUAAAACAGCCCAGAUCUCUGUUAUCGAAUUCUUACUGCACUGUAAGAACCGAUCUCGAAUACACCCACCACAAUAUGGCUACCAGUGCCAAUUCUCGAAAUUACCCACAAUAUGGCUACCCGUGCCAAUUCUCUUCCCACAAUACUGACAACCAGUGCCAGUUCUCGAAAUCCCACAAUAUGGCUACCAGUGCCAAUUCUUUAUCCACAAUACUGACUACCAGUGUUAGUUCUCGAAAUCUCACUUUGGCUACCUCUGCCAAUUCUUAAGUGCCACGGAAAGAAAGAAGGAGAAGUUUGCCGGAAAUGCAUCGGCAUAAUAU
rnacentral:lncRNA from 1 species